AUUGAACGCUGGCGGCAGGCCUAACACAUGCAAGUCGAACGAGUGGCGGACGGGUGAGUAAUGUCUGGGAAACUGCCUGAUGGAGGGGGAUAACUACUGGAAACGGUAGCCAAUACCGCCUACCAUCGGAUGUGCCCAGUUGGGAUUAGGUAGUUGGUGGGGUAAAGGCUCACCUAGGCGACGAUCCCUAGCUGGUCUGAGAGGAUGAUCAGCCACACUGGAACUGAGACACGGUCCAGACUCCUACGGGAGGCAGCAGUGGGGAAUAUUUCAAAAUGGGCGCAAGCCUGAUCCAGCCAUGCCGCGUGUGUGAAGAAGGCCUUCGGAUUGUAAAGUACUUUCAGUGGGGAGGCGUUACCCACAGAGGAAGCACCGGCUAACUCCGUGCCAGCAGCCGCGGUAAUAC
rnacentral:rRNA from 1 species